AGAUGGUUAUGCACGUGGAUGCAGCAAAAACAUACCAGUGACUCCUGGGUACUUGCUAACUCCUUUCUGCCUUAUGCAGGAUUCAUACUGUCAUUCUUAGUUCUAUUUCUGAUUUUUCUACCUGUUUGUUGUGGCCACAGAAUAUGCAGAAAGGGUAGUAUAUUUACCCACUUGGCUUUUUUCUUAGUGUCUCUUUUAAAAUAAAGAAAUAGGGACUGGGGAUGUGGCUUAGUUAUUAGGUUCUCAAUGUCCAGCAUCACAUAAGCCAGGUGUGGUGGAGCAGGGAAUCCCAGCAGUAGGAAGGUAGAGACAGGAGGAUCAAAAGUACAAACUCAGGAACUGGAGAGAUAGCUCAGGAACUAAGAGCACUAGCUGCUUUUCCAGAGAACCCACAUUCCAUCCCAGCACCCACAUAGCAGUUCACAGCUACCUGUAAUUCUGGUUCCAGGGGAGCAGAUGCCCUCUUUUGACCUCCAUGGACACUGCAUGUAGGUGAUGCACAGACAUACUUGCAGGCAAAAUACAUAAAAUAAAAAUAAAGUUCUUUAAAAACAAAAGUACAAGGUCAUCAUUGAUUGCACAGGGAGGUAGAAACUAACCUAGUGUGUGAGAGACCACGUCUAUGAACAAAUAAUUCAAAUUAGGAACUAAAACUUUUCUCUUUUAGUACAAAACUUAUUGUAUGGUUUAAAACAAACACUUAACUCUGCUUUCUUCUUGACUUUUUUUUCCAGCUGAAAGAAACAUCUUAUUUUUUGGUAAUCUUCUUUGUUCUUGAACUUCCCAGGAAGAGGAGUUAUACGCAUGCCAGAGAGGCUGCAGGCUGUUUUCAAUUUGCCAGUUUGUGGAUGAUGGGCUUGAUUUAAAUCGGACCAAGCUGGAAUGUGAAUCUGGUAAGAGGCUAUGCUAAUGACGUCAGCCAUGCAUAACUUUGGGGCUUUCUUUGAGUUGAGUUAUGCUUUUUAUGUAUUUUUCCUAGAAAAGGUAGACAUCCUGUUUAAACUAGUCACCCACCAUACUGUAACUGUAAAAUUAGAGUUUUAAUAGAGGCUGCUAAAAAUGGCAUUGGCUUUAAUCCAUCUGUGAUGAGACAGUGUUUAUUUUGUGCUGUGGAUAGGAUUCCUUUGUUUAACCAAGCAUUCUGUUUAGACAAAUGCAGAGGUAAUUAUACAACUCAUAAUUCACCACUACCUUUUCAUGGAUGGUAUAAUUUCCCUGAGCCUCUCCAUCAGUCGGCUGGUUGACAGAGCUCCAAGGUUUUUACUGAAUCAGGCCUUUGACUCUGAAGUGUUUUAGAGUAUUCUUUAUCAGUCAUGCCAGCGAAAAUAACCCGAGGCUUUGUCACCACUUAACCACUCUUCUUACCUUUUGGUGAAAGAGACGUGUUUAAUAAAAGACACCUACAGUCAGGACACAGGGGACAUUUACCUUUGUAAAGAACAGUAAUGGAAUCUUGUCUGUGUUCCCCAACACACACAGUAUACUCCAUGUGGCAGGACACAGCUGUUCCCUGAGGUGGCUCUCACACUAUUGUGUGAUAUUGUGACCUUAUUUUUGUGGCUCAGGCUCCUCACUGGCCAUAUUUAUAUAUUCAUAGUGCUAUGUUAGCUUAUCUAGAGCCUCUGAGAAGUAUGUUACUUACCUGAGUGAGAAGCAGUGAACUGGAGGAUUCAAGUGUGUCUGACAGCCCGUUUCAGCUGCUUCUUGUCUUAGGAGUGCUGAGGAUGGAGCCCAGGACCUAGUGUAUGCCAGGCCAGUGCUGUGCCCCAGCCUACUACACAGCCCCAGCCCUGUUCAGCCUUUAAAAUUCCUCAUUGCAGAACAUUUUCUGCUUCUAUUUUCUUAGAAUUUAGCAUAAUAGACUAAUUAGUUUAUUUCCCCCUUGCCAUAUUGAUGCCUUUGUUUCUCAACUGAAUAAUCGCAAAUAUUUAUAUAAAUAACUGACAAACAUUGUCUCAUUCUUAUAUUGGGUAGUAGUCUUUCCAUUUCAGACUUGCAGCAAUCAAACUAGGCUAAGUGGCACAAGUCUGUAUUCCUAGUUACUUGGGAGGCUGAGGCAGGAAGGUUCAAGGCUUGUCUGCACUACAGAGUGAGUUCACAGCCAAUCUGGGCAACUUGGGGAGACCUUGUCCC
rnacentral:lncRNA from 1 species